UUGUGCUGAGAGUGUAUAUCACAUUGGUGAGAAACUUUUCAAAGUCAAAAGAAUAGGGGUCUAUCUUGCUAUGUGCAUGUUGGAGAAUUCAGGUACAGAGAGAGAACUGGGUGUGUAUAUGGCUUAUCUUUCUGCCGAGAGCAUUUUAAAAAAAGAGUGGGUUUAACAAUUGAGGCAUUGUAGAGAGAGAGAGAGAGAGAGAGAGAGAGUUCAAAGCUUAGAACUCAUGUGCUGGAAAUGGUAAAGAAAGGCUAAGGAAAAAGCUUGGGAAAGUGAAGGAUUGAAGAGGAGAUCAAGAUUUUGUCAAGAAUUCUUUAAUUGAAGAUUUUAGGUCACGCGCUAUUGUCUGCCUGAUUUAUCUGAUCUGUCCAAUCUGUCUGAUUUGCUCUGCAGCCAUCUUAUGAUAUCUGUACCCGGACCAGAGGUUCCUUAUGGAACUGACAAGUAAUCUGCACCUGGCUGGAGGUUCCUUUAUGAAACUGACAAGUUACCCGUUCCCGGUCCGAAGGUUCCUUUAUGGAACUGAAAAAGUUAUCCGUACCCGAUGGAGGUUCCUUUAUGGAACUGACAAGUAUGAUCUGUGAUACUAUGUAUGUGAUCUGUUAGCGCUAACGGAUGUAGUAUGUAAAAUUAAGCAUGAACUCUGAUUUCUGAAUAUGAUUUGAAUAAGAAUAUGAAUAUGAAUCUGUUUCUAUUUCUGAUUGAAAUUUGAAUAUACAUAAGACUUUGUUUCUGAUAAGAAUCCAUUUUUGAUAUAAACUCUGAUUUCUGACUCUAUGAUGGACAUCAUUCUUUGAAACCCUUUACUUUGUUAUUAUUCACUAAG